UAGGCACGCAGACCUUUCUUGGAACUGAAUAAGGAAUGAUGUUGGCUGAAAGGUUUAUCGUUUUUAAGACUUUAAUCGACCCUUAUACGGUUGACUCGGAGACUAGCAUCCAUUCGAGAAAAUCUAAAAAAGAUAUGUUAUUCUGUUUCUAUUUAUCUUCGUAUACAAACAUCUUUGUAUAUAGAUUAUGUCAUCUCAAGCGAAGAAUUUUCCUCUAAUUUGGGAAUGUCACGAAAAUUAGUUAUUGGUAUGCCUCACCAAGAAAUUGUGAUUUCCUUCUAAUUUAACUGAGAAAGAAUUUUCGAGAACACGAAAUAGAAUCUGUCUGUCGGACACGAUUACUUACUGUAAAAUUGUGAGAAAUCCAACUCUUAUAGACACGUGUACGUACAUAUAUCAAUAAUAUUAUUAUAAUCAAUAAUAUAAUCCAUUCAUCUUUAAGAAA